UGAAGCAGUGAUGGGUUGGCUGGUAAAU
rnacentral:piRNA from 1 species